rnacentral:rRNA from 1 species
UACGUAGGGGGCAAGCGUUGUCCGGAUUUAUUGGGCGUAAAGAGCUUGUAGGCGGCUUGACAGGUCUGCUGUGAAAACUCGAGGCUCAACCUCGAGAUGUCGGCGGAAACCGUCUGGCUAGAGUCCGGAAGAGGAGAGUGGAAUUCCUGGUGUAGCGGUGAAAUGCGCAGAUAUCAGGAGGAACACCGAUGGCGAAGGCAGCUCUCUGGGCCGGUACUGACGCUGAGGCGCGAAAGCGUGGGGAGCGAACAGG